rnacentral:lncRNA from 1 species
AUGGUAGUUCACAGUCUCCGGAUGCGCAGACGCAGUUCUCUCAGUUUCAGGCUGGGCUCCGGUGAGACGAGGCGGGAGCGAGUGCGCAUGCGUCUCGCAGCGAGGCUCGUGAGUGACGUGGCCGUUCAUUAUUUCUCACAAUUCCUUGGCAUCGUCCAGAAUACCAAGCAUCGAGGCGGAGAGGCGGUCACCAAAAGGUGGGGAGGUGCACCCCACUGUGAAGCUCUGCCUUCUGAAGACUCUGCCCUUCCCCGGGAUAAGCGCGGACAAGAGGAGGAGGAGGAAGAGAUGUCACCUGAGCUCCUGACAUCUGUUUACCAGGUGAGUUUGUUUCUUCUGUCUCUUGAAAUACCAUCUAAAGCCUCCAAGCAUGGAAACGUUUCCUUUAAAC